rnacentral:rRNA from 1 species
GUUGGGCACUCUAAGGGGACUGCCGGUGAUAAGCCGAGAGGAAGGUGGGGAUGACGUCAAGUCCUCAUGGCCCUUACGGGCUGGGCUACACACGUGCUACAAUGGUGGUGACAGUGGGCAGCGAGCACGCGAGUGUGAGCUAAUCUCCAAAAGCCAUCUCAGUUCGGAUUGCACUCUGCAACUCGAGUGCAUGAAGUUGGAAUCGCUAGUAAUCGCGGAUCAGCAUGCCGCGGUGAAUACGUUCCCGGGCCUUGUACACACCGCCCGUCACACCAUGGGAGUUGGUUUUACCCGAAGGUAGUGCGCUAACCGCAAGGAGGCAGCUAACCACGGUAGGGUCAGCGACUGGGGUGAAGUCGUAACAAGGUAGCCGUAGGGGAACCUGCGGCUGGAUCACCUCCUUU